rnacentral:tRNA from 1 species
GGGAGCGGAUGGCGGUCUGGUGGCCCCACUGGUCUUCAAAACCAGCUUGCCGAGCUAAACCCUCGGUUGGUGGGUUCGAUUCCCACACGUUCCCGCCA